rnacentral:rRNA from 1 species
GGGUUGUGAGGUUAAGCGACUAAGCGUACACGGUGGAUGCCCUGGCAGUCAGAGGCGAUGAAGGGCGUGCUAAUCUGCGAUAAGCGCCGGUAAGGUGAUAUGAACCGUUAUAACCGGCGAUACCCGAAUGGGGAAACCCAGUGUGAUUCGUCACACUAUCAUUAACUGAAUCCAUAGGUUAAUGAGGCGAACCGGGGGAACUGAAACAUCUAAGUACCCCGAGGAAAAGAAAUCAACCGAGAUUCCCUCAGUAGCGGCGAGCGAACGGGGAGGAGCCCAGAGCCUGAAUCAGCAUGUGUGUUAGUGGAAGCGUCUGGAAAGGCGCGCGAUACAGGGUGACAGCCCCGUACACAAAAGCGCAUAUGCUGUGAGCUCGAUGAGUAGGGCGGGACACGUGGUAUCCUGUCUGAAUAUGGGGGGACCAUCCUCCAAGGCUAAAUACUCCUGACUGACCGAUAGUGAACCAGUACCGUGAGGGAAAGGCGAAAAGAACCCCGGCGAGGGGAGUGAAAAAGAACCUGAAACCGUGUACGUACAAGCAGUGGGAGCACAGGUUUACCUGUGUGACUGCGUACCUUUUGUAUAAUGGGUCAGCGACUUAUAUUCUGUAGCAAGGUUAACCGAAUAGGGGAGCCGGAGGGAAACCGAGUCUUAACCGGGCGUUAAGUUGCAGGGUAUAGACCCGAAACCCGGUGAUCUAGCCAUGGGCAGGUUGAAGGUUGGGUAACACUAACUGGAGGACCGAACCGACUAAUGUUGAAAAAUUAGCGGAUGACCUGUGGCUGGGGGUGAAAGGCCAAUCAAACCGGGAGAUAGCUGGUUCUCCCCGAAAGCUAUUUAGGUAGCGCCUCGUGAAUUCAUCUCCGGGGGUAGAGCACUGUUUCGGCUAGGGGGCCAUCCCGGCUUACCAACCCGAUGCAAACUGCGAAUACCGGAGAAUGUUAUCACGGGAGACACACGGCGGGUGCUAACGUCCGUCGUGAGGAAACAACCCAGACCGCCAGCUAAGGUCCCAAAGUCAUGGUUAAGUGGGAAACGAUGUGGGAAGGCCCAGACAGCCGGAUGUUGGCUUAGAAGCAGCCAUCAUUUAAAGAAAGCGUAAUAGCUCACUGGUCGAGUCGGCCUGCGCGGAAGAUGUAACGGGCUAAACCAUGCACCGAAGCUGCGGCAGCGACACUCAGGUGUUGUUGGGUAGGGAGCGUUCUGUAAGCCUGUGAAGGUGGCCUGUGAGGGUUGCUGGAGGUAUCAGAAGUGCGAAUGCUGACAUAAGUAACGAUAAAGCGGGUGAAAAGCCCGCUCGCCGGAAGACCAAGGGUUCCUGUCCAACGUUAAUCGGGGCAGGGUGAGUCGACCCCUAAGGCGAGGCCGAAAGGCGUAGUCGAUGGGAAACGGGUUAAUAUUCCCGUACUUGGUGUUACUGCGAAGGGGGGACGGAGAAGGCUAUGUUGGCCGGGCGACGGUUGUCCCGGUUUAAGCGUGUAGGCGGGUGUUCCAGGUAAAUCCGGUUCACUUUAACACUGAGGCGUGACGACGAGGCACUACGGUGCUGAAGCAACAAAUGCCCUGCUUCCAGGAAAAGCCUCUAAGCAUCAGGUAACACGAAAUCGUACCCCAAACCGACACAGGUGGUCAGGUAGAGAAUACCAAGGCGCUUGAGAGAACUCGGGUGAAGGAACUAGGCAAAAUGGUGCCGUAACUUCGGGAGAAGGCACGCUGACACGUAGGUGAAGUGAUUUACUCAUGGAGCUGAAGUCAGUCGAAGAUACCAGCUGGCUGCAACUGUUUAUUAAAAACACAGCACUGUGCAAACACGAAAGUGGACGUAUACGGUGUGACGCCUGCCCGGUGCCGGAAGGUUAAUUGAUGGGGUCAGCGCAAGCGAAGCUCCUGAUCGAAGCCCCGGUAAACGGCGGCCGUAACUAUAACGGUCCUAAGGUAGCGAAAUUCCUUGUCGGGUAAGUUCCGACCUGCACGAAUGGCGUAAUGAUGGCCAGGCUGUCUCCACCCGAGACUCAGUGAAAUUGAACUCGCUGUGAAGAUGCAGUGUACCCGCGGCAAGACGGAAAGACCCCGUGAACCUUUACUAUAGCUUGACACUGAACAUUGAGCCUUGAUGUGUAGGAUAGGUGGGAGGCUUUGAAGUGUGGACGCCAGUCUGCAUGGAGCCGACCUUGAAAUACCACCCUUUAAUGUUUGAUGUUCUAACGUGGACCCGUGAUCCGGGUUGCGGACAGUGUCUGGUGGGUAGUUUGACUGGGGCGGUCUCCUCCUAAAGAGUAACGGAGGAGCACGAAGGUUGGCUAAUCCUGGUCGGACAUCAGGAGGUUAGUGCAAUGGCAUAAGCCAGCUUGACUGCGAGCGUGACGGCGCGAGCAGGUGCGAAAGCAGGUCAUAGUGAUCCGGUGGUUCUGAAUGGAAGGGCCAUCGCUCAACGGAUAAAAGGUACUCCGGGGAUAACAGGCUGAUACCGCCCAAGAGUUCAUAUCGACGGCGGUGUUUGGCACCUCGAUGUCGGCUCAUCACAUCCUGGGGCUGAAGUAGGUCCCAAGGGUAUGGCUGUUCGCCAUUUAAAGUGGUACGCGAGCUGGGUUUAGAACGUCGUGAGACAGUUCGGUCCCUAUCUGCCGUGGGCGCUGGAGAACUGAGGGGGGCUGCUCCUAGUACGAGAGGACCGGAGUGGACGCAUCACUGGUGUUCGGGUUGUCAUGCCAAUGGCACUGCCCGGUAGCUAAAUGCGGAAGAGAUAAGUGCUGAAAGCAUCUAAGCACGAAACUUGCCCCGAGAUGAGUUCUCCCUGAGACUUUAGGUCUCCUGAAGGAACGUUGAAGACGACGACGUUGAUAGGCCGGGUGUGUAAGCGCAGCGAUGCGUUGAGCUAACCGGUACUAAUGAACCGUGAGGCUUAACCUUACAACGCCGAAG